UAUUUAAAAGCUUCAAACUGGGAUUAGAUACCCCACUAUGCUCAGCCAUAAACCUAGACAUCCAGCUACAAUUAGAUGUCCGCCCGGGUACUACGAGCAUCAGCUUGAAACCCAAAGGACCUGACGGUGCCUCAGACCCCCCUAGAGGAGCCUGUUCUAGAACCGAUAACCCCCGUUAAACCUCACCACUUCUAGCCAUCCCAGCCUAUAUACCGCCGUCGUCAGCUUACCCUGUGAAGGCAAUAAAAGUAAGCAAAAUGGGCACAACCCAGAACGUCAGGUCGAGGUGUAGCGUACGAAGUGGGAAGAAAUGGGCUACAUUUUCUAUCACAGAACACUACGAAUAUGCAACAUGAAAUAGUGCUUGAAGGAGGAUUUAGUAGUAAAAAGGAAGCAGAGUGUCCUUUUGAACCCGGCUCUGAGGCGCGUACACACCGCCCGUCACCCUCUGCAGUCAAA
rnacentral:rRNA from 1 species